rnacentral:rRNA from 1 species
UAGGGAAUCUUCGGCAAUGGGGGGAACCCUGACCGAGCAACGCCGCGUGAGUGAAGAAGGUUUUCGGAUCGUAAAGCUCUGUUGUUAAGGAAGAACGAGUGUGAGAAUGGAAAGUUCAUGCUGUGACGGUACUUAACCAGAAAGGGACGGCUAACUACGUGCCAGCAGCCGCGGUAAUACGUAGGUCCCGAGCGUUGUCCGGAUUUAUUGGGCGUAAAGGGUACGUAGGCGGAUAAGCAAGUUAGAAGUGAAAUCCUAUAGCUCAACUAUAGUAAGCUUUUAAAACUGCUCAUCUUGAGGUACGGAAGGGAAAGUGGAAUUCCUAGUGUAGCGGUGAAAUGCGCAGAUAUUAGGAGGAAUACCGGUGGCGAAGGCGACUUUCUGGCCAUAAACUGACGCUGAGGUACGAAAGCGUGGGUAGCAAACAGG